GAUGAACGCUGGCGGCGUGCCUAAUACAUGCAAGUCGAGCGAAUGGACGAGAAGCUUGCUUCUCUGAUGUUAGCGGCGGACGGGUGAGUAACACGUGGAUAACCUACCUAUAAGACUGGGAUAACUUCGGGAAGCCGUAGCUAAUACCGGAUAAUAUUUUGAACCGCAUGGUUCAAAAGUGAAAGACGGUCUUGCUGUCACUUAUAGAUGGAUCCGCGCUGCAUUAGCUAGUUGGUAAGGUAACGGCUUACCAAGGCAACGAUGCAUAGCCGACCUGAGAGGGUGAUCGGCCACACUGGAACUGAGACACGGUCCAGACUCCUACGGGAGGCAGCAGUAGGGAAUCUUCCGCAAUGGGCGAAAGCCUGACGGAGCAACGCCGCGUGAGUGAUGAAGGUCUUCGGAUCGUAAAACUCUGUUAUUAGGGAAGAACAUAUGUGUAAGUAACUGUGCACAUCUUGACGGUACCUAAUCAGAAAGCCACGGCUAACUACGUG
rnacentral:rRNA from 1 species